GUGCUAUCAUGUUUGAUGUCAUUAAGCAGAGUCUGAGCUUUCAUUUUCCGAUCACUCUUGUUCUUUUCGGUCAACAGUUGUCAGUUCAUGAGGACAAAAGAUUUGUAUGCCAAAUCCUUCUGCACUGCCAGACUGACUUCCAAAUUUAUUUCCAAAUUGACUUCACCAUGCCCAUUUCUUUUGCCAGUUCAAUCAUGUUCAACCUUGGAUUUUGGUCUAUCUUUUUCAAUUUGGAAAUAAAUUCAUCACUCCUCUUGCAAUCAGAUUGCUUUCUGUGUUUGGCUUGGUGAGGAGUUAGUACCUCC
rnacentral:lncRNA from 1 species